GACAGGCCUAAGUUCCUAUAGUCUUCUUGGACUGAGAUGAAAGAUAGCUGCUUUUUCCCCCCAGGAAACAGGCUGCAAGUUUGCCUAAGCUGAGUCAGAAGAAAAAAGGUGAGCAGAUCCCAUCCAAAAGCAUCAGCAGCCAAACAGAUGUGGCAGCAUCUGAAGCAGACGUAGAAACUGCACUGAGAAAAGGAGGAACAAAAUAUAAACUCUAAAUAGAGUUUUAUAAAUCUUAACAGAGGAUAUUGGUUUUGGAAGAGAGUUUAGGUUCAGAAGUUUGGGCAUUGGAGUAUGAGAGCCAAAGCUCCAAUUAGCCAUCCAAAAGGCUUGUGAAAAAAUGCUGAAUGAGCUUUCUGUAGAAAUCUUUUCCUCUCUUAGUCUUGCUUAAAGAAUUUCUUGGGCUGUAGACAAGAAGCUGAAUCAGAAAUACCAAGAUUUAGCCAGUUUGGGCCAGUAUUAUGGAGUAGGAGGAUAGUAUUAUGGAGUGAUAUGGUGUUUUUCAGUACAGAUGAUCAGUUUCUCAAAUCUCUGGUAGUCUUAGGAGUGGUAUGUAAGGGCAUCCCAAAAUAUCUCAUCACUCCAAAAGAGGAAAGGAUGCCAGAGAGACAGCCUGUGGGCCUAGGGCAAGGAAAGCAGGGUGCACUAUCAGCUGGAGGCUGAUGAAAACUCAGACAUCAGCAGUGAGUGGCUAAACCAAAGAGCAAUGUGAGCCAAAAACCAGAAGUCUCUCUCCUGCCCUCACUCCCAGUAGCCUAGCUGUGAUACAGGUUUCCCAGAACUUGAAUUAGCUCUGGGGAGAAUGGUGAAGGGGAAAUCCUGGAAUGUCAGAAAGCACCAGUUUGACAAAAAUUAAGUUCUCUGAUACUAGGUAAAAUGGGCUUAAAGUAGAGUUUAGGUUGAAUAGUAGAAAAGUAAAAUGACAUUUUCUUUUUUUGCAUAUCUAAAUUCUGAGAAAUGUGUACCCACUACAUAAGCAGAAUAAAUAAAUCCAAUGUCAUAUUAGAAACUAAAAUUAGUAAUGAAUGAACAUUAUUCAACUGUAUUGAAUAACUUUGUUUGUAUGGCACUUGAGAGUUGACAAGUGGUUUUGUGUACUUAAUCUUAUUUGGUCCACUCAAUAGCCUGCAAGGUAAGCAAGUCAAAGACCUUUCCUUUACUUGAAAAUAUAGACAGCUAUGAAAUACCAUCCCUGAAUAUUCAUUGAUUCAAUUCAUCCAAGAAAUCAGUGAAAUGCCAUAUACUUACCACCUACUUGACAUUUCAUUUUCCCUGGAGUGCAUUUCCAAGAGGCUGUGAGGGAUAUAGAGCAGGGUCACAAAAGCAUCAUGAGAGGUAGGAAUGUAGUAAGACCAAAGGGUGGCAAUGCCUAUAAACAGAAAUGGGCAUAGAGGUAAUAAGGAUAAAACAAUGAGUUCUUGACAUUUUAUGUCACUGUUGCAGAAAGGAAGGCAAUAUGGUUUGGCUGUGUCCCUACCCAAAAUCUCAUCGUGAAUUGUAACUCGAAUUAUAAUCCCCACGUAUUGGGGGAAGAACCUCAUAGGAGGUGAUUAGAUCAUGGGGGUAGUUCCCCCAUGCUGUUCUCAUGAUUCUCAAGAUAGUGAGUUUUCACAAGAUUUGGUGGUUUUAUAAGAGGUUUUUCCCUGCUUCGCUCUGUACUUCUCCUCCCUGCCAUCGCAUGAAGAAGGACAUAUUUACUUCUCUGUCUGCCAUGGGUUGUAAGUUUCCUGAGGCGU
rnacentral:lncRNA from 10 species